GGGACCGGAGCACCGCUUGACCAUCCUCCUCCGCGUGGUUAAUACGAUUUCCUAUCAAGGUUAUUGGUGAGUCCUCCAUUCCGGGGACGUUGCUCAUGAUCUUUUGCUAUGUAUAAGACCUUUCUUUUUUAGUUAUGUUUUGACUAUGAGGGUGAGCCCGGUAGUUUUUCUUGGCCCCCGCUAAGUACUCAUGUUUAGAGGUGGUGUUGGACAAGUUGUGUUUUAUGCUUGAGCUUGAC
rnacentral:lncRNA from 1 species